AUGCUGGGGAGCCUGGUGGCCCAACUGAGCUUCCCCGGUUUCCCAUCUAUCCAGCUGCCCUACUUGAUUGAUGGGGCUCACAAGAUCACCCAGAGCAAUGCCAUCCUGCGCUACAUUGCCCGCAAGCACAACCUGUGUGGGGAGACAGAAGAGGAGAAGAUUCGUGUGGACAUUUUGGAGAACCAGGUUAUGGAUAACCACAUGGAGCUGGUCAGACUGUGCUAUGACCCAGAUUUUGAGAAACUGAAGCCAAAAUACUUGGAGGAACUCCCUGAAAAGCUAAAGCUCUACUCAGAGUUUCUGGGGAAGCAGCCAUGGUUUGCAGGAGACAAGAUCACCUUUGUGGAUUUCCUUGCCUACGAUGUCCUUGACAUGAAGCGUAUAUUUGAGCCCAAGUGCUUGGAUGCCUUCCUAAACUUGAAGGACUUCAUCUCCCGCUUUGAGGUGAUGCCCCCAUCCUCCUUUCUCUUUGAUGCCCCUUGUUCCUUUCUCUCCUUUCAGAUGCUUUCCCAGUCCUGGAGCUACACAAAGAAUAACUCGUAUGUAUUGAGUACGGGCUUCAUGCCAGGAAUCAUGCCCAGCACAUUAUACCUGUUGUGUGGAAUUUGAAAUUUCCAACAUUCCUACAGGGUGACAGAAUUAUCUUGCCCAUUUUAGAGAUAAGAAAACUGAGAAUGAGAGGGUCAGUCCUUUGCUCAGGGUCCCAGAGCCAGUGGAGGCUGUGCUGGGCUCCCUGUGAGCCUCUGGAUCUAUGGGUGGCAGUCAGGGCUCUCCCAUUUGUGACAAAAGGAGAAGCCUCAGGCCUCAUCCAGCCUGGGUUUCACAGCCCAGAACACUUUGAAAGAGGCAGAGCACUUCAGGACCACGGAUGCAGCUGGCAAUAGUAGGACUGACACACAGUGGCAUUGAUGUUGAGUACUAAACCCGCAGGCAGUAUUCAUAGCCACCCCCAGAAGCUUUGCAUGAUCGGACCCCCAUGUGGAAAAUCCUGAGAUCCGGAGCUGUGGCUGGAGCUGGAUUAGGGUACAUAUGUGGGUGCCCCUGUUGAAGCAGUGUGUGUUGAAGUGCUCUGUGCUGGGGCACUCUCCUUCUUUAUCUUUCUUCCUCUCUUUUUUUCCCUCCAAUGUUCCACGUCUUCCCCCUGUGAGAUGAGUAGCACACUGAUUUUACUCCUAUUCACCGAUCUUCUCCUCUGCAUGAGGCAGGAUGUGAGGCACAGUGGGAGUUGCAUAGAUGACUGCCCCAUCCUGGAAAUGAGUGCAGUGAGAGGCCUGCAGGCAGAGCAGCCUGUGAGGUGUGUGUGGCACCACCUGGGUACCUGGCCUGGGGCCUGCCCCUCACUCACGGGGAACCAUCCCUCACCUGUGUUGAAGUUGUUUGAGAGCAGCAAAUCCUACUUCAGUACAGAUUUGGGGAUUUGAGGCAUUAGUCCAACAGGCUUCUGAGCCUAGAAUCUGUUUCCCUUUCCCACUCCCCAUCAAGAAAUCUGCUUGCUCAGCUAGUUCCCAUCAGCUCUGGUUCUGGUCCAGCCUGAGCAGCCUUGGGGUUAUGUAAGAGGUGGUGGGAGGGGAGCGGUGGGGAACAGCCGAGGGCUGGGGCAUGGAGCCUGCCUGGGCCUGGCCCUGGCCCUUUGGGGAGAGGGAGCCCUGGAUCUCUUUGAAUUCUUUAGAAGUUACAUGGUCAUUGAAUCCUGGGUUUGAAGAAGAUCUCUGCCUACAUGAAGUCCAGCCAAUUCUUCCGAGGUCUUUUGUUUGGAAAGUCAGCUACAUGGAACAGCAAAUAG